UCACAGAUAAGAAUUCCCUCUUCCUCCAUGUGGAGGGAGGCCACUUCCCAGAUGAAGUUCUUAUGAUCUGCUUCAGGAGGAGGUCAGAAAACCCUUUCUAGCUUUUAUGAUCUGCUUCAUCGAAAGAUGAUGGGAAGGUUAUUAUCAUUGCCCUUGGAUCUUGUUCCAGACUGUUUCUCCUCAUCUAACUUCACCUCUCUCAUCUCCCACACAAUUGGAUGGAUCUCCUGAAGCUCAUAAGGACCAUAACAACACCUUCCUCUGUACUGAGAUUCCUUAAUGGCUCUCUAUUACCUAUAGCUGUGUUCUUUUUAAAAAGUUGGUUUUGUUCAUAUACCAAACAAAUUUUUGUCUGGAAUUUUGAAAAAAAUCCGUAUAUUUUCAAAUGUUUCAAAGUUGCUAAAAUUUAUUCUUUUCACUUUAAACCUUUAAUCAUAAUAAAUAUAUAAUUUUAACAUCCAACCAUUACAUCACUUUGAAGUGUAUCUCAAAGUAAUCUAACAUACUAAUUUUACCUGUUUUGUCAUUCAUUAAAGCAACUUUUCUCUGAUGAUGAGACAUUUUAGUAUUAUUUCUUCUUCCUCAGAGAAUUGCAGAAUCUUACUGUUAUAUAUUUUUAUGCUUGAUCAUCCUUUAUUGCCACCAUUACAUAUAUCUAUUCAACAAAAAUAUAUGUAAAUUAGAAAUAUUUUUCUCUUCUGGGCUCACAAAACUCUAAGCAUUAAAAAAAUUUCUCCAGG
rnacentral:lncRNA from 10 species